AUGGGAUCCAGGAGGGAGCAUCCCAACGGCGACAGCGGCGGUCAGGGGUCCGGCAGUGUCCCCUCGGGGGGCCGGGGGUGGCGGUGUCCCCUCGGGGGGGUCCGGCAGUGUCCCCUCGGGGGGCCGGGGGUGGCGGUGUCCCCUCGGGGGGUCCGGCAGUGUCCCCUCGGUGGGGUCCGGCAGUGUCCCCUCGGAGGGUCUGGCAGUGUCCCCUCGGUGGGGAUGGCGGUGGCAGUGUCCCCUCGGGGGGUCCGGCAGUGUCCCCUCGGUGGUCGAGGGGUGGCAAUGUCCCCUCGGUGGGGAUGGCGGUGUCCCCUCGGUGGGGAUGGCAGUGUCCCCUCGGUGGGGUCCGGCAGUGUCCCCUCGGGGGUGUCCGGCAGUGUCCCCUCGGUGGGGAUGGUGGUGGCAGUGUCCCCUCGGGGGGUCCGGCAGUGUCCCCUCGGUGGGGAUGGCAGUGACAGUGUCCCCUCGGUGGGGAUGGCAGUGUCCCCUCGGUGGGGAUGGCGGUGGCAGUGUCCCCUCGGUGGGGAUGGUGGUGGCAGUGUCCCCUCGGUGGGGAUGGCGGUGGCAGUGUCCCCUCGGUGGGGAUGGCAGUGUCCCCUCGGUGGGGAUGGUGGUGGCAGUGUCCCCUCGGUGGGGAUGGCGGUGGCAGUGUCCCCUCGGUGGGGAUGGCAGUGUCCCCUCGGUGGGGAUGGCAGUGGCAGUGUCCCCUCGGUGGGGAUGGCAGUGUCCCCUCGGUGGGGAUGGCAGUGUCCCCUCGGUGGGGAUGGUGGUGGCAGUGUCCCCUCGGUGGGGAUGGCGGUGGCAGUGUCCCCUCGGUGGGGAUGGUGGUGGCAGUGUCCCCUCGGUGGGGAUGGCAGUGUCCCCUCGGUGGGGAUGGUGGUGGCAGUGUCCCCUCGGUGGGGAUGGCAGUGUCCCCUCGGUGGGGAUGGCAGUGGCAGUGUCCCCUCGGUGGGGAUGGCGGUGGCAGUGUCCCCUCGGUGGGGAUGGCAGUGUCCCCUCGGUGGGGAUGGCGGUGGCAGUGUCCCCUCGGUGGGGAUGGCGGUGGCAGUGUCCCCUCGGGGGGGUGACUCACUGUUAUUUGCAGCUCAGGAAAAGGAAGCGGCGGUAGCUGAGCGUGGCUCCGGCAGCGACACCGGCCGGGUCACCGCAGACACUUCCCUGUCCCCAAGGGACGCGGCGCAGCCAGGGCAGGAAACAGCCACCGGCCCGGGGUCAGAGCCCGGCGGGGCCCCACGGCUCGGCCCCCCCCGGGCAUCCUGCGGGGCUGGGAGCGGGGUCGGGCACAGCCGGUGCCCUCUCCGCGGGAUGGGGACAAGGUGA
rnacentral:lncRNA from 1 species